GUUUGUUCCUGAGUACAUACUAAAAUUGGAACAAUAUAGAGAAAAUUAGCGUGACCUUUGCGCAAGAAUGACACUAGACUUCGUGGAACGUUAAAGAUUUUU
rfam:Oesophagostomum dentatum strain OD-Hann O_dentatum-1.0_Cont730023.1, whole genome shotgun sequence.